rnacentral:rRNA from 2 species
GCAGUCGACGACUCUGGUAUUGAUUGGUGCUUGCAUCAUGAUUUACAUUUGAGUGAGUGGCGAACUGGUGAGUAACACGUGGGAAACCUGCCCAGAAGCGGGGGAUAACACCUGGAAACAGAUGCUAAUACCGCAUAACAACUUGGACCGCAUGGUCCGAGUUUGAAAGAUGGCUUCGGCUAUCACUUUUGGAUGGUCCCGCGGCGUAUUAGCUAGAUGGUGGGGUAACGGCUCACCAUGGCAAUGAUACGUAGCCGACCUGAGAGGGUAAUCGGCCACAUUGGGACUGAGACACGGCCCAAACUCCUACGGGAGGCAGCAGUAGGGAAUCUUCCACAAUGGACGAAAGUCUGAUGGAGCAACGCCGCGUGAGUGAAGAAGGGUUUCGGCUCGUAAAACUCUGUUGUUAAAGAAGAACAUAUCUGAGAGUAACUGUUCAGGUAUUGACGGUAUUUAACCAGAAAGCCACGGCUAACUACGUGCCAGCAGCCGCGGUAAUACGUAGGUGGCAAGCGUUGUCCGGAUUUAUUGGGCGUAAAGCGAGCGCAGGCGGUUUUUUAAGUCUGAUGUGAAAGCCUUCGGCUCAACCGAAGAAGUGCAUCGGAAACUGGGAAACUUGAGUGCAGAAGAGGACAGUGGAACUCCAUGUGUAGCGGUGAAAUGCGUAGAUAUAUGGAAGAACACCAGUGGCGAAAGGCGGCUGUCUGGUCUGUAACUGACGCUGAGGCUCGAAAGUAUGGGUAGCAAACAGGAUUAGAUACCCUGGUAGUCCAUACCGUAACGAUGAAUGCUAAGUGUUGGAGGGUUUCCGCCCUUCAGUGCUGCAGCUAACGCAU